UCGCAGCUCAAUGAUUUUCUGUUCUUUGAUUGAUGAAAUAUCAGAAUCUUUGAAAUGGGAAUUCGAAGCUUUCUUUAAACUGUUCUCAAGAACUGAGAGCUCGUCCAUUUGUCGAUGGAGCAGGGCAGUGGUAGUGACAUACUGAUCCAUUUUCUUGAUUUUUGAAUCCAUAUCUUUCAAGCUGAGAACCCAAUUGUAAGGUAACGUACUGAUCCAUUUUCUUGAUUUUUGAUUCCAUAUCCUUCAAGCUUAGAACCCAAUUAUAUGGAUCACGGCCAGUGUUGGCAAAUUCAUUGAAGUAGCGAUCAAAGUUUCUGAGAU
rnacentral:lncRNA from 1 species